rnacentral:rRNA from 1 species
AUUGAACGCUGGCGGCAGGCUUAACACAUGCAAGUCGAGCGGAGAUGAGGUGCUUGCACCUUAUCUUAGCGGCGGACGGGUGAGUAAUGCUUAGGAAUCUGCCUAUUAGUGGGGGACAACAUUCCGAAAGGAAUGCUAAUACCGCAUACGUCCUACGGGAGAAAGCAGGGGAUCUUCGGACCUUGCGCUAAUAGAUGAGCCUAAGUCGGAUUAGCUAGUUGGUGGGGUAAAGGCCUACCAAGGCGACGAUCUGUAGCGGGUCUGAGAGGAUGAUCGGCCACACGGGGACUGAGACACGGACCAGACUCCUACGGGAGGCAGCAGUGGGGAAUAUUGGACAAUGGGGGGAACCCUGAUCCAGCCAUGCCGCGUGUGUGAAGAAGGCCUUAUGGUUGUAAAGCACUUUAAGCGAGGAGGAGGCUACUGAGACUAAUACUCUUGGAUAGUGGACGUUACUCGCAGAACAAGCACCGGCUAACUCUGUGCCAGCCGCCGCCGUAACAC